CUGUAGCCAAUUAGGCCGACCAGGUUCCUUUCCUCAUGGAGACCUGGUGUGCAAUGGCUACAAACAAUGGGCUCCUUGGCAGUGGACGUAGCCUGUUUCCUGUACAGGUUACACUAAGGGACCCUGGAGACAUAU
rnacentral:snoRNA from 1 species